UGAAUCACUGAGUAGUGUUCGUUACAGACAAUAUUCUACAAAUCUGUGUAGUUUUUGCGCGUGUUUCUUUGUAACUCAUGGGACCGUAAAAGAAAACGGAUCUGUCAAAACAAACCCAGAGUUUUCCUAGCUAACCCUAGCACCAUCACCUCCACAAUCCGCCACUUGACCCCAUCUGCACCAUUGGCCUUACUCACACUGGAUUGCUAUAGAAUGUUAUCAGAAGUACUUGUGGACCUUGUCUGGCAACUGGUACCAGCACAGUCGACCUCCACGCAGCAUGGCUUCGCAACCAAAGCAUGCAGUUUCGUCGAACAGUGGGAUGGUCAUGAGAGGUAAAUUUUGGGAGUUACUGAAUUAAAGCUGUGGUAACGGUACUCACGACUCCAGAGAGUACUUCACCACUAUCGGUAAGCUGCAUUCGAAACCCUCACAGUACAGCAGCUAUAUGGGUCAGCAGUACAAACUAUACUGAGGACUGCCAGGGGCCGCAGCUGCCAACCCAUAGGCAUCAUGUGUGUGGAUAGCGAGUCAGUCCCUUGUCAAAUUCUGAAGCACUGAGCUAUGGCAGAUUGUUCUCUUUAGUGCAUCGAGUUGUGUAUAGUCUCCAGUUACCGCUAAGUCUAUAAGCUGCAGUGUUCAUCCAUCAUCUUCGAGACUUUGGCUCCAUAGGCAUCGUGGGCCAGCUCUGGACUCUACAUAGGCAUCACUCAGAGGCACAGUGACAGGACUUUAAUAUUUUAGAGAACUUGAAAUAUAAUUUCAAAUGUCUGAUUAUUCUGGACAUUUCACAAGAAGAAUCAUUUAAGUUAAGUAUUUCUUCAUAUUUAAUAAGUAUCAUUUUAUUACUAGUUGUUGGGAGUCUUUGUGAUUGAAGGUAACCUACACCGUCAUUCCCAACGCAGGCAGCUCCAUUGCAGCUGUGUGAGGCAGGCAGUCAGGCAUAGAUGCAUAGAAGUAGUGUAAUGGCACAACAUGGGUGCUUCUAUUCACUAUAAAUACAGUCUGUUUCUAGCACAGUUACGUGCUGUUUGGCAGCAGCUCCUCGACAUUGGGUCCAUGCUAGUUCACAGUAUGCCUCGGGCCAGCCAUCAGCUGACGCCAGUCAGUCAGUCAGAGCAUCCAGCUCAAUCAGACCAGCUUACAUUUCUAAGUCCACCUUAUGGACUUCAGUGACACAAUGAGGGUAAUCCUCCAGGUGCCACAGCAGCACCAGACUUCUGCCUCGAAGGGCAGCAGUUCACAGCAAGGGCAGUAUUGCUGCCACCUCUUUGCGCCAGGGCAAGUUUAUAACCCAGCAGCCGCGGCCACCUGUGGGAAUGUAGUGGACGUAUGUGUCACUGACACAUAGGGCUGCAUAAUGCUACCUCAGGCACGCACCAGUGAAUGAGGUAAACACAGUCAGCAAAGUGCUUUAGAAGACAAGAAUCUCUUUCGAAUGUGCGAGGAAUGAAGGAAAUUGUAUAUAAUCCAAUCAAAAUUAAAAAUAACAAUUUUAAAAUCGUA